CGAACGGGUGAGUAACGCGUGAGGAACCUGCCUCAAAGAGGGGGACAACAGUUGGAAACGACUGCUAAUACCGCAUAAGCCCACGGCUCGGCAUCGAGCAGAGGGAAAAGGAGCAAUCCGCUUUGAGAUGGCCUCGCGUCCGAUUAGCUGUUGGUGAGGUAACGGCCCACCAAGGCGACGAUCGGUAGCCGGACUGGGAGGUUGAACGGCCACAUUGGGACUGAGACACGGUCCAA
rnacentral:rRNA from 1 species